UACGGGGGGGGCAAGCGUUGUUCGGAAUUACUGGGCGUAAAGGGCUCGUAGGUGGCCAACUAAGUCAGACGUGAAAUCCCUCGGCUUAACCGGGGAACUGCGUCUGAUACUGGAUGGCUUGAGUUUGGGAGAGGGACGCGGAAUUCCAGGUGUAGCGGUGAAAUGCGUAGAUAUCUGGAGGAACACCGGUGGCGAAGGCGGCGUCCUGGACCGAGAUUGACGCUGAGGCGCGAAAGCCAGGGGAGCAAACGGG
rnacentral:rRNA from 1 species